CAGCCCCUCGAGUGGUGGGGAUGAUUAUUUGGCCUAAAGCGUCCGUAGCCAGCCAUGUAAGUCUCCCGUUAAAUCCAGCGUCUCAAGCGUUGGACUGCGGGAGAUACUGCAAGGCUAGAGGGUGGGAGAGGUAUGCGGUAUUCUGGGGGUAGGGGCGAAAUCCUUUGAUCCCCGGAGGACCACCAGUGGCGAAGGCUGCAUACUUGAACACGCCUGACGGUCAGGGACGAAAGCUGGGGUAGCGAACCGGAUUAGAUACCCGUGUAGUCC
rnacentral:rRNA from 1 species